rnacentral:rRNA from 1 species
UUAACCUUCGGGAGAACGCUCACCACUUUGUGGUUCAUGACUGGGGUGAAGUCGUAACAAGGUAGCCCUAGGGGAACCUGGGGCUGGAUCACCUCCUUACCU